rnacentral:rRNA from 1 species
UGAACGCUGGCGGCAGGCCUAACACAUGCAAGUCGAGCGGUAGCACAGAGAGCUUGCUCUCGGGUGACGAGCGGCGGACGGGUGAGUAAUGUCUGGGAAACUGCCUGAUGGAGGGGGAUAACUACUGGAAACGGUAGCUAAUACCGCAUAAUGUCGCAAGACCAAAGUGGGGGACCUUCGGGCCUCAUGCCAUCAGAUGUGCCCAGAUGGGAUUAGCUAGUAGGUGGGGUAACGGCUCACCUAGGCGACGAUCCCUAGCUGGUCUGAGAGGAUGACCAGCCACACUGGAACUGAGACACGGUCCAGACUCCUACGGGAGGCAGCAGUGGGGAAUAUUGCACAAUGGGCGCAAGCCUGAUGCAGCCAUGCCGCGUGUGUGAAGAAGGCCUUCGGGUUGUAAAGCACUUUCAGCGGGGAGGAAGGCGGUGAGGUUAAUAACCACAUCGAUUGACGUUACCCGCAGAAGAAGCACCGGCUAACUCCGUGCCAGCAGCCGCGGUAAUACGGAGGGUGCAAGCGUUAAUCGGAAUUACUGGGCGUAAAGCGCACGCAGGCGGUCUGUCAAGUCGGAUGUGAAAUCCCCGGGCUCAACCUGGGAACUGCAUUCGAAACUGGCAGGCUAGAGUCUUGUAGAGGGGGGUAGAAUUCCAGGUGUAGCGGUGAAAUGCGUAGAGAUCUGGAGGAAUACCGGUGGCGAAGGCGGCCCCCUGGACAAAGACUGACGCUCAGGUGCGAAAGCGUGGGGAGCAAACAGGAUUAGAUACCCUGGUAGUCCACGCCGUAAACGAUGUCGAUUUGGAGGUUGUGCCCUUGAGGCGUGGCUUCCGGAGCUAACGCGUUAAAUCGACCGCCUGGGGAGUACGGCCGCAAGGUUAAAACUCAAAUGAAUUGACGGGGGCCCGCACAAGCGGUGGAGCAUGUGGUUUAAUUCGAUGCAACGCGAAGAACCUUACCUGGUCUUGACAUCCACAGAACUUUCCAGAGAUGGAUUGGUGCCUUCGGGAACUGUGAGACAGGUGCUGCAUGGCUGUCGUCAGCUCGUGUUGUGAAAUGUUGGGUUAAGUCCCGCAACGAGCGCAACCCUUAUCCUUUGUUGCCAGCGGUUAGGCCGGGAACUCAAAGGAGACUGCCAGUGAUAAACUGGAGGAAGGUGGGGAUGACGUCAAGUCAUCAUGGCCCUUACGACCAGGGCUACACACGUGCUACAAUGGCAUAUACAAAGAGAAGCGACCUCGCGAGAGCAAGCGGACCUCAUAAAGUAUGUCGUAGUCCGGAUUGGAGUCUGCAACUCGACUCCAUGAAGUCGGAAUCGCUAGUAAUCGUAGAUCAGAAUGCUACGGUGAAUACGUUCCCGGGCCUUGUACACACCGCCCGUCACACCAUGGGAGUGGGUUGCAAAAGAAGUAGGUAGCUUAACCUUCGGGAGGGCGCUUACCACUUUGUGAUUCAUGACUGGGGUGAAGUC